UACGUAGGUGGCAAGCGUUGUCCGGAUUUACUGGGCGUAAAGGGCGUGCAGGCGGUCUCUUAAGUCUGGGGUGAAAGCUCCCGGCUCAACUGGGAGAGGUCCUUGGAUACUGGUGGACUUGAGGGAUGCAGAGGAAAGUGGAAUUCCCGGUGUAGUGGUGAUAUGCGUAGAUAUCGGGAGGAACACCAGUGGCGAAGGCGGCUUUCUGGGCAGUUCCUGACGCUGAGACGCGAAAGCGUGGGGAGCAAACAGG
rnacentral:rRNA from 1 species